GACGAAUGCUGGCGGCGUGCUUAACACAUGCAAGUCGAACGGAAGGGCCCUGCUUUUGUGGGGUGCUCGAGUGGCGAACGGGUGAGUAACACGUGAGUAACCUGCCCUUGACUUUGGGAUAACUUCAGGAAACUGGGGCUAAUACCGGAUAGGAGCUCCUGCUGCAUGGUGGGGGUUGGAAAGUUUCGGCGGUUGGGGAUGGACUCGCGGCUUAUCAGCUUGUUGGUGGGGUAGUGGCUUACCAAGGCUUUGACGGGUAGCCGGCCUGAGAGGGUGACCGGCCACAUUGGGACUGAGAUACGGCCCAGACUCCUACGGGAGGCAGCAGUGGGGAAUAUUGCACAAUGGGCGGAAGCCUGAUGCAGCAACGCCGCGUGCGGGAUGACGGCCUUCGGGUUGUAAACCGCUUUCGCCUGUGACGAAGCGUGAGUGACGGUAAUGGGUAAAGAAGCACCGGCUAACUACGUG
rnacentral:rRNA from 1 species